rnacentral:rRNA from 1 species
UAUCCGGAAUUAUUGGGCGUAAAGGGCUCGUAGGCGGUUCGUCGCGUCCGGUGUGAAAGUCCAUCGCUUAACGGUGGAUCCGCGCCGGGUACGGGCGGGCUUGAGUGCGGUAGGGGAGACUGGAAUUCCCGGUGUAACGGUGGAAUGUGUAGAUAUCGGGAAGAACACCAAUGGCGAAGGCAGGUCUCUGGGCCGUCACUGACGCUGAGGAGCGAAAGCGUGGGGAGCGAACAGGAUUAGAUACCCUGGUAGUCCACGCCGCUAACACGGUGGAUGCUGGAUGUGGGGACCAUCCCUCGGUCUCC